rnacentral:lncRNA from 1 species
AGGGGGACCCCAUGGAGGGCAUUGUCGGCACACGGAGUGCAUCGCCGCCCCAUAGAACCUAUCAGCGCCCCAUAGAACCUAUUAGCACCCCAUAGAGCCCAUUGUUACCCCAUAGAGGCCAUUGUUAUCCCAUAGAACCCAUUGUUACUCCAUAGAGCCCAUUAUCACCUCAUAGAACCUAUUAUCACCCCAUAGAGCCCUUUAUCACCCCAAAGAACCUAUUGUUACCCCAUAGAGCCCAUCAUCACCCCAUAGAGCCCACUGUCACCCCAUAGAGCCCAUUGUUAACUCAUAGACCCCUCUGCCACCCCAUAGAGCCCAUUGUUACCCCAUAGAGCCCAUUGUUGCUCCAUAGAGCCCAUUAUUACCCAAUAGAACCUAUUAUCACCCCGUAGAACCCAUUGUUACCCCAUAGAGCCCAUCGUCACCCCAUAAAGCCCACUGUCACCCCAUAGAGCCCAUUAUUACCCCAUAGAGCCCAUUGUUACCCCAUAGAACUUAUUAUCACCGCAUAGAACCCAUUGUUACCCCAUAGAGCCCAUUGUCACCCCAUAGAGCCCAUUAUCACCCCAUAGAGCCCUUUAUCACCCCAUAGAACUUAUUAUCACCCCAUAGAACCCAUUGUUACCCCAUAGAACCCAUUGUUACCCCAUAGAACCCAUUGUUACCCCAUAGAGCCCAUUGUCGCCCCAUAGAGCCCAUUAUCACCCCAUAGAACCUAUGAUUGCCCCAUAGAGCCCAUUGUUACUCCGUAGAGCCCAUCGUCACCCCAUAGAGCCCAUCAUCACCCCAUAGACCCCUCUGCCACCCCAUAGAGCCCAUUGUUACCCCACAGAGCCCAUUAUCACCCCAUAGAACCUAUUGUUACCCCAUAGAGCCCAUUGUUGCCCUAUAGAACCUAUUGUUACCCCAUAGAGCCCAUUAUCACCCCAUAGAGCCCAUUAUCACCCCAUAGAACCUAUUAUCACCCCAUUGAACCCAUUGUCACCCCAUGGAGGCCAUUGUCGCCCCAUAGACCCCAUGGCCACCCCACAGACCCCACAGUCAUCCCCCCCCCCUGUCGUCCCCCCUUUUGUCCCCACCCCUUUGUCCCCACCCCCACCCCAUAAAGGCACCGCAGCCCGCAGUGCCACCACCGCUGCGGGACCGUGAGUCCUCCUGACCCCAUUCCUGACCCCAUUCCUGACCCCAUAUCUGUCCCCAACUUUGUCCCCAUCCCUGACCCCACAUUUGCCCCUUUGACCCCAAAUUUCUCCCUCUUUCCCCACCCCUCACCCCAAAUUUGCCCCUUUGGCCCCAAUUUUGCCCCUCCAUCCCCAUCUCUGACCCCAUAUUAUCCCCCCGUCCCCACUCCUGACCCCAAAUUUCCCCCUCUGCCCCCAUAUUAUCCCCCCAUCCCCACCUCUGACCCCAAAUUUGUCCCUCUGUCCCCAUUUUGUCCCCACCCUGACUCCAAAUUUGUCCCUUUGACCCCAUAUUUCCCCCUCUGACCCCAUAUUGUCCCUCCAUCCCCAUCCCUGACCCCAUAUUGUCCCUCAGUCUCUAUCCCUGACCCCAAAUUUGUCCCUUUGACCCCAAAUUUCCCUCUCUGCCCCCAUACUGUCCCUCCAUCACCACCCCUGACCCCAAAUUUGUCCCCAAAUUUGUCCCUUUGACCCCAAAUCUCCCCCUCUGCCCCCAUAUUAUCCCUCCAUCCCCACCCCUGACCCCAAAUCUCCCCCUCUGCCCCCAUAUUAUCCCUCCAUCCCCACCCCUGACCCCAAAUCUCCCCCUCUGCCCCCAUAUUAUCCCUCCAUCCCCAUCCCUGACCCCAAAUUUGUCCCUUUGACCGCAAAUCUCCCCCUCUGCCCCCAUAUUAUCCCUCCAUCCCCACCCCUGACCCCAAAUCUCCCCCUCUGCCCCCCAUAUUAUCCCUCCAUCCCCACCCCUGACCCCAAAUUUGUCCCUUUGACCCCAAAUCUGUCCCUCCAUCCCCAUCCCUGACCCCAUAUUGUCCCUCAGUCCCCAUCCCCUGACCCCAAAUUUGUCCCUUUGACCCCAAAUCUCCCCCUCUGCCCCCAUAUUAUCCCUCCAUCCCCACCCCUGACCCCAAAUCUCCCCCUCUGCCCCCAUAUUAUCCCUCCAUCCCCACCUCUGACCCCAAAUUUGUCCCUUUGACCCCAAAUUUCCCCCUCUGACUCCAUUUUGCCCCUCCAUCCCCAUCCCUGACCCCAAAUCUCCCCCUCUGCCCCCAUAUUAUCCCUCCAUCCCCACCCCUGACCCCAAAUUUGUCCCCAAAUUUGUCCCUUUGACCGCAAAUCUCCCCCUCUGCCCCCAUAUUAUCCCUCCAUCCCCACCCCUGACCCCAAAUCUCCCCCUCUGCCCCCAUACCGCCCCUCCGUCCCCACCGUUGUCCCCAUGUCCCCCCCCGUCACCUGGGGGGUGGCCCUGGGGGUGGCCCUGGGCGCUGUGGGGUGGGCGCUGUUGGUUUCCUCUCUGCCCCACAGUGCCUGGGGGGUGGGGGGGGGGCAGGUGACGGUGGUGGCGUCUGUCACCAACACCCGCGGGCUGUGGAGCGAUUGUGUCACCGACGCCAGCGGGGGUGACAUCGUGUGUCCCACUGCAGUCACUGCUCACACUGCCCGGUUACCUGCAGGGCAGCCGAGCGUUGGCUGUGGGAGCGGCAGCUGUGGGGACCCCCGGCCCACUUCUCCCCUUCUUGGGGGGUCCGGGGGGGGCGACGGAGGGGUCGGAUCCUGGGGGGGGCGCUGGCUGCUGCUGGCAGCUCUGGGUGCCGCCGGUGCCUCCGUGUGGUUUGGGGUCGCUGUCACUCAGGAGUUCUUCGACCCCCAACAUUCGAGCGUCAGGUAUGAGCCCGGCCCGGGGUUGUUCCUGGCCGGGGGGGGGGCGAUGCUUUUGGGGCUGGGGGGGGCAGCGCUCCUCCUUGCCGCGCGGAGGACCCCCCCCAGAACACAACGACCCCCAGUCUCCCCCUGGGGGGCCCCCCCCCGGCCCCGAGGAGCAUCUGCUGCCAGUUUGGGGGACAAAUACCGGCCGCAACGCCUACGUGUGACACCCCCCUCCCCCCCCCCCCCAAAAAAAAGGGGGACCCCCCCCCCCCCCCUCAGGACUGUGGGGACCCCCCCACAGGAAAAUUGGGGAUCCCUCACUCCGGAUCUUGGGACACCAAAGGACCCCCCCAGGAACAUUGGAGGACCCCCCUCCCCUUCAGGACUGUGCGACCCCCCCCCCAAAAAAAGGGGGACCCCCCUCAGGACUGUGGGGACCCUCUGGGACCAUGGGGACCCCCCCCAGGAAAACGGGGAUCCCCCUCUCCGGAUCAUGGGGACACCAAAGGACCCCCCAGGAACAUUGGAGGACCCCCCCUCUUCCCCUCCUCAGAACUGUGGGACCCCCCCCGACAGAAAAAGGGGGACCCCCCCCCCCCAGCACUGUGGGGACCCUCUGGGACCCUGGGGACCCCCCCAGGAAAAUUGGGGAUCCCCCUCUCCGGAUCAUGGGGACAGCGAAGGACCCCCCAGGAACAUUGGAGGACCCCCCCCCCCUCCCCUCAGAUUGAGGGGGAUCCCCCAGGACUGUGGGACCCCCCCAAAAAAAGGGGGACCCCCCCCCCUCCUCAGGACUGUGGGGACCCUCUGGGACCGUGGGGACCCCCCCCCCAAAAAAAAGAAACCGAAGACCCAAAGGAUAAUGGAAAACGAGACCCCCAAAUACAUGGGGACAACCCCAAGGAUGAUGACCCCCCCACAAGGAAAAUAAGAGCCCCCCUCCCUCCCCCCAAGAACCGUGGGGAGUUCCAAUGGGCGAUGGGGACCCCCCCCCCCCCCCCACCGAAAAUGGGGACCCCCCCCAGGGAUGAUGGAGACCCCAAAAAGACGACGGGGAGCCCUUAUGGACAUGGGGACCCCCCCCCGAACAACGAGGACUUAAAUGGACACGGAGACCCCCCCCCCCCCCCCAAAGAAAAUGAGGAUCCCCAGGAGCAUAAGGAUUAAGGAUCCCCCCCUCCCCCCCCCCCCAAAAAAUAACUGGAACUGGAAGACAACGGGGAUCCCCACCGGGACAAUGGGGACCCCCCCCCCCCCGCCGAGGAGAUUGGGGACCCCCCCCGAAGAGAUUGGGGACCACUGAGGACAAUGGGAACCCCAAUGGAUGUGGGACCCCCCCCCACUCCCCACUAAGGAAAAUGGGGACCCCCAGGAGCAUGGAGAUUCCCCCCCCCCCCCCCCCCCCCAAAGAGGAUGAUGGAGACCCCAAAAGACAAUGGGGAGCCCUUAUGGACCAACCCCCCCCCCCCCCCCCCCCCCCCCCCCCC